rnacentral:lncRNA from 1 species
CGAGAUAUAUUGCCAUGCAACUACCACCAUGACAUGUGCCACCACGUCUACAUUACCAUUACAUGAUCGUAAGAUAGCUAGCAUGUUGUUUCCAUUAAUGUCUAUGCCAUGCUAGAUCAUUGUCACGGUACACUACCGAAGGCAUUCCAUAUAGAGUCAUCGUUGCUCUAAGUUUUGAGUUGAAAGUGUGAUGAUCAUCAUUAAUGGAG